rnacentral:snRNA from 1 species
CGAUGUGAGGGUGAUCUGGCUAAGACAUUUGUCAUCCCAUUGAUCACCAUGGUUGAUUUGGCUGAUCUGGCUGCCUAGUCCAGUGUCCCGUUCCUCCCUCACCGCUCCAUGUGUGUCCCUCCGAAAUUGCAUGCUCAGUCAAAAAGGAUGACCAUACAUGUAACUGUAACCCCUCUAUACAUCAUCUUCACAAUAUUUUUUUAAAAGGAUGAUUAUGCUGGUCUUCAGUCAAGAGUAUACAAAUGUGCUGAGCUCCCCUACCAGAACCUCUAGUCAUUAUAUUUGUCACAAAGGUGUAACUUGAAUACAAAUAAUUACAGCAGAGGUCAAAAACUAUGUACAUAUGACCAUAU